ensembl:lncRNA
CUGUAAUGCGAGGGAUAUUUUUUUUCCCUUGGUAACCCGACAUCUUUGAUGUGCGUUGUCAGCCUGCUCGAUUAUGGUGGCCACCUCAGUGAUGCUAGCUAGCUGGAUCGCCAGGAAUGAAAGGAAUGGAUGUUCAGAUGCGAUGAGACCAGUCGACGCCGAAACACAAUUCUGUCUCAGCGCUCACCUGCAACAAAACUUAAUUUAAAUGUGCUAAACAGCUUUCUCCGUCCUUUCAAACAAGGUUUGUUGAAAAAAACGAAAACGUUUGACAACCUUUCCUCACGUUCCGAUGCUGAGACUGUCUCGGUAGUCACCAAGGGAGAGAGUAGACAACUACUGAUCUAGGCCACGCAACCGUGCAUGCGCAAUACCGCGCCCUCCUUCGAUCUUACUCACUCAAAGUCACCUGCUGCAAGCAAAGUCCGGAGGAUAGGAGAGACGGUGAUGCUAAUUUUCAUGACUGGUCUGAAACAUUAAUGGACAUUUUGAGUUAGAAAGCUUCUAAGUUGCCCAAAGGAUUCUAAUUUGGUUUUAGAAAAAUCACUUUAAAAGAAUGUACUGGAAACAUUGUGGAAGAAUCAGAUGGCACUACAGUGACACUGGACGUUCAGGAGGGUACACAUGGGGGCGUGUUGGCCCAGAAAUUCAUUUUUUCCAUCCAAGUCUUCACUACAAAUUACUAAAAAGUAUCAUUCUAAAAGAAAACUUAAUACUUGUGAGGCCUUGGGUAUUUUUCUUUGACUAUGUAUACCCCUGUGUGUAAUAGGC